rnacentral:rRNA from 1 species
AUUGAACGCUGGCGGCAGGCCUAACACAUGCAAGUCGAGCGAGCGGCGGACGGGUGAGUAAUGUCUGGGAAACUGCCCGAUGGAGGGGGAUAACUACUGGUAACGGUAGCUAAUACCGCAUACCAUCAGAUGUGCCCAGAUGGGAUUAGCUAGUAGGUGGGGUAACGGCUCACCUAGGCGACGAUCCCUAGCUGGUCUGAGAGGAUGACCAGCCACCCUGGAACGUAUCCACGGUCCAGACUCCUACGGGAGGCAGCAUUGUUGAAUAUGGCACAAUGGGCGCAAGCCUGAUGAAGCCAUGCCGCGUGUGUGAAGAAGGCCUUCUGGUUGUAAAGCACUUUCAGCGGGUAGGCUUUACCCGCAGACGAAGCACCGGCUAACUCCGUGCCAGCAGCCGCGGUAAUAC